ACGAGAUGCGGCAUUGCCGGGAAGAGCCCUCCCUCGCCGCCCUUCACGCCUAUCCCCACUGCUCGUGAUGGGAAUUGAGACCAACCCUAUCCCCUCCCCAUUCAUCUGAUUCUCCUCCCCAAAUCGCUGGUCUCCCUCGUCCAGAACUCGGUCUGGAUUCUCGAACGAGCGCGAGAGGAGGAGGCCGCCGCUGCUGUCACGGCCACCAGCCACCUCAGCACGCAAGCAGCAGCAGCAGCAGCAGCAGCGCGCCAUGGCCUUCCGGCGGCUGACACGGGAGAGAGAGGAGGCGGCGUAGGAAGGGGGAGCUGGUGGAGGAGGUGGAGUGGCGGCGGUAGGAAGAUAUGGCCUGGAAGAUCUCCUAGAAGCCCCUCUCCAUCAUCCUCUGGCUUGAGGCCGCCAAGGUUGUCCUCGACCAGCACGAGUCUAGCAAGGUUUGGAUAAGGAUGUGAGUGAGAAAAGUCACAAGAAGAGAAUUUCUAGGAGCAUGGCGACUAUGACCAAAAGGAUGAUUUUUCUGCAGACUGCAUAUUUUAUGAAAUGCAGGCAUGAGGCUUCUCUUAUUUUCUUUUGUUCAUGUCUUUCUAUGCAUCUUAUUCACCAUGGUUAUUGUAUAUGCAAGUGGUAGGUGCCAGGUUUUACCAGUAGUCAUAAUUCGUGUCAUAAUUCGUGUGGAAGCGCGAGCGCAUCCAGUAGCAACGAGGUCGACAUCCUGGUCCUUUGCAAGUACGACUGCGGCAUGCCAUACCCUGCAGACAGAUCUGGCAGCAAUGGCAGCCGGCAUUGUGUGAGCACCAGUGCAUGUACGCAACAUGUAAGCAAGGAGAGGAGAUGAGAGGAGGACUAGAAAAUGCCAAUUCAAUCACAUAUUUUAUUUCACACGGAGGAAGUAGAGGAAGGGUCGAGCGUUGCCGGCAACACACCAAGAUGAAAGCAUGCGGGGUGCAACGGCUCCAGGGCGAUAGGCACGUAGAGGGCGAGCGUGGCUGUGAGCCAUGCGAUAAUCUCCCAGGUUGACCAUGCAUCAAGUUCGUAGAAAUGACGGUUGAGAUGACACUGCAAGCUGAUGGUUGUCUGUUUCCGGAAGUAAUGAAGUCAGUACCUUACUUUCUCUUCACAGGCCGACGGAUUUAAAGCUUACAUCUAAAAACAGUUUCUGACAGUUUCUGAAAUUGUCAAGUGUAUUGAAGAAAAGUUUCAAGUGCAGACUGAGAUACUAAAAUUAUUUGCAGUUCAAGGUCUAUUCUCGACAGAAAAGUUUCAAGUAGAGACUGGAUACAAGGUUGUUUAGGUAACCGAGUAAACCACAUCAGAAAUUGCAGUUUACAUAAUGAGAAUAAAGUUUAUAGCCGGUUCUCUAGCUUUCAACCAGGCUUCGGCCUUGUCCUACAAAAAGUGAGAAAAUAGGAAUUGCAGACUGGGGAGGAUGAACUAGCAUCUUAUGUAUGCUCAAGAUCUAGGAUGCGGCUCAAGAUCCAGGUAUAUGAGUUCCUUCUCUCAACAAUAGGAAACUUACAACUAUUAGCUUCUCUUGGCCAAACUACGAUCCAUGAAGUUCUGAAUACAACUCUUCUCAGUAUUGAUGGAACAACUCAGGGACUAAGGUGUUCAAGCAUAUGCUUAGUAAAACAUCUUCAAAAGAUAAAAAUAUAUUUAGUUGUUCCGAUUAUCACUGAGGGUAUCGUUAAUCCGCACAAAAUUCGAUUUACCUAUUUUGUUUACACUGGAUGUAUAGAUUUUGUUAAACUUCAUUACUUCCUUUGUCGGUACUGGAAUGAAAACAACGACCUUAUCUUGUGAUGGGUUCAUAUGCAAGGCCUAAUGAUCAGCUUUGGUUGGACUGUAACUUGAACAUCCACAAUAAGGCGAACAGCAAUUUUCAGCUUUCGCAGAAGUCCUAAAAGCUGAUGAGUCACAGCUUUGUCUUAUUUUCCUGAAAUGUAAUAGUAGGCAUACCUUAAAAACCUUAAAGGAGAAAACUAUACAUGUUAGGUCUGAAAAAUUCAGAUUGAAUCUUCUGUGACGUUGACAAAAAUAUCCUUGGUACUCAAUGGUUUGUGUCCUUGAAGGAGCAGCUUCAGCGUCCUAGACUAACUACAAGCCGCUGUCAAGCCUCAUGUAUCUAAGUAUAGCAAUUUUAAUCCUAUUACCCUUUACCUGCCAUAUGAAGUGUCUUUUCCUGUGAAAAUAAUUGUGUGAGUAAAACAUCAUUAUUUGUCUUCCUUUCCUUGUGUAGAAUAGUUUGUUGUCAGCCAUUUAUUUUAUCCACCCAAAACUGCAUUAUGCCGCUCUGAAGUAUCCAAUGCUAUCGCAUGAUUAUUUUGUUGUUACCCAGGAGCAGUUCACAUGGAAGUUGUUGAGAUUGUAACCACGGUCGGAUUAUAAGAUGAUGAAAGAUUAUAGUUAUGACGAGCUUUUGUAAGAAGAAGCAAUCUACGGACUAACUUUUCAGGCAACCAAUUGGGAAGGAAAGGAAGAAUAGAGCGCUUAUUAGCAAGAAGAACUUGAAGAUUAAAGAGCUUAGAAAACCCUAGAAUGAUUCCAUAGUAGAUGUCUCAGCAGCGAAUGACAAGGUGUGCUAAAUAGCUUUAUUUUUUUGCGGGGGAAAUAGCUUUAAAAGGUUACACCAUUGGAUCCUCUCAGCUGGAUAAUAAUACUAACUCCAGUCUUUGGGAAAAUAAGAAAGGUAGAACACACCUUGACCUUUACCAACUGGCUUUCAUAAAUAAUAAUCAACAGGUCUGCUACAUCUUGGCGGUCGCACUUGUGCAUCUCGGUGCGCCUACC